rnacentral:rRNA from 1 species
CACGUAGGGUGCGAGCGUUGUCCGGAAUUAUUGGGCGUAAAGAGCUCGUAGGCGGUGUGUCGCGUCGGCCGUGAAAACCUGCAGCUUAACUGUGGGCUUGCGGUCGAUACGGGCAUCACUGGAGUUCGGCAGGGGAGACUGGAAUUCCUGGUGUAGCGGUGAAAUGCGCAGAUAUCAGGAGGGAACACCGGUGGGCCGGAAGGCGGGUCUCUGGGCC